rnacentral:rRNA from 1 species
GCCGGCAGCUAGCUCUCUGCAACUCUCACAUGGUUGCCCACUGAAGCUAAGCAGGGCUGUGCCUGGUUAGUACCUGGAUGGGAGACCACAUGGGAAAGCUGGGUUGCUGCCGGAA